GCCUGGGUAGCUCAGUUGGUUGGGUGUCUGACUUUGGCUCAGGUCAUGAUCUUGUGGUUCGUGGGUUCAAGUCCCACGUCUGAUA
rnacentral:tRNA from 1 species